rnacentral:rRNA from 1 species
UACGGAGGAUCCAAGCGUUAUCCGGAUUCAUUGGGUUUAAAGGGUGCGUAGGCGGAAUGAUAAGUCAGCGGUGAAAUCCCUCGGCUUAACCGAGGAACUGCCGUUGAUACUGUCAAUCUUGAGUACAUUUGAUGUGGGCGGAAUGUGUCAUGUAGCGGUGAAAUGCUUAGAUAUCGGGAGGAACACCAAUGGCGAAGGCAGCUCGCUGGGACGUUACUGACGCUGAGACGCGAAAGCGUGGGGAGCAAACAGG